GAUGAACGCUGGCGGCGUGCCUAAUACAUGCAAGUCGAGCGAAUGGAUUAAGAGCUUGCUCUUAUGAAGUUAGCGGCGGACGGGUGAGUAACACGUGGGUAACCUGCCCAUAAGACUGGGAUAACCCGGGAAACCGGGGCUAAUACCGGAUAACAUUUUGAACCGCAUGGUUCGAAAUUGAAAGGCGGCUUCGGCUGUCACUUAUGGAUGGACCCGCGUCGCAUUAGCUAGUUGGUGAGGGAACGGCUCACCAAGGCAACGAUGCGUAGCCGACCUGAGAGGGUGAUCGGCCACACUGGGACUGAGACACGGCCCAGACUCCUACGGGAGGCAGCAGUAGGGAAUCUUCCGCAAUGGACGAAGGUCUGACGGAGCAACGCCGCGUGAGUGAUGAAGGCUUUCGAGUCGUAAAACUCUGUUGUUAGGGAAGAACAAGUGCUAGUUGAAUAAGCUGGCACCUUGACGGUACCUAACCAGAAAGCCACGGCUAACUACGUGCCAGCCGCCGCAGUAA
rnacentral:rRNA from 1 species